rnacentral:rRNA from 1 species
GACGUAGGGGGCUAGCGUUGUUCGGAAUUACUGGGCGUAAAGAGCGCGUAGGCGGUCUAUUAAGUUGGAAGUGAAAUCCCGGGGCUCAACCCCGGAAUUGCUUUCAAAACUGGUAGGCUAGAGUUCGGUAGGGGGUGAUGGAAUUCCUAGUGUAGAGGUGAAAUUCUUAGAUAUUAGGAGGAACACCGGUGGCGAAGGCGAUCACCUGGCCCGAUACUGACGCUGAGGCGCGAAAGCGUGGGGAGCAAACAGG